ensembl:lncRNA
CUGAAAAAAAAUGUCAAGUCUCAUCAACUCAAGAAGUUGAAUAGAAAACCUGAAUGAAAAUAUUAUGAAUGAAAACACUUUGAACCCCAAAACGUGAAUUUCUGCUGUUCGAUACUGUAGCUCAGCAGAAGCUGGGAAGAACCUCUUGAGGUGAUAAAUAUCAAAGCAUAAUAAACAGACAAAAAGGAAAUUUCAUAAUAUAUACCAAGGGAAACUAGGAAUUAUUUGAAACUGACAUGAGGCAAAUCAAAGCAUAAAAGAGAUAAACCUGAAAAAUGCAGUAUUUUUCUUCACAUUCUCUGCAGUGCAUUCUUUAUGGUAUGUUCUUUGUUGUCAUAGAUUUUUACAUGUUUCCAUUAACUUUAUUUAUAUUUUUUGCCUUUUAAAAGCUGUUUUAAAACUCCAGCUGGUACAAAGACACCGAAACGUAAAGCAAGAUAGGACAAGAAAUUUGGAAUGACAGAAGUGACCACCUACUGACACACGCACUGCGAAAAUCACAGCAUACUGUUUGAAAACAAGCAGUGUCUUUGCAGAGGAGGCCUCACCACCAGCAGCUUCAGCCCAGCUCCUGUCAAGACUACAGAUCUGGAAAAG